GACGAAUGCUGGCGGCGUGCUUAACACAUGCAAGUCGAACGGAAAGGCCCUGCUUUUGUGGGGUGCUCGAGUGGCGAACGGGUGUGUAACACGUGAGUAACCUGCCCUUGACUUUGGGAUAACUUCAGGAAACUGGGGCUAAUACCGGAUAGGAGCUCCUGCUGCAUGGUGGGGGUUGGAAAGUUUCGGCGGUUGGGGAUGGACUCGCGGCUUAUCAGCUUGUUGGUGGGGUAGUGGCUUACCAAGGCUUUGACGGGUAGCCGGCCUGAGAGGGUGACCGGCCACAUUGGGACUGAGAUACGGCCCAGACUCCUACGGGAGGCAGCAGUGGGGAAUAUUGCACAAUGGGCGGAAGCCUGAUGCAGCAACGCCGCGUGCGGGAUGACGGCCUUCGGGUUGUAAACCGCUUUCGCCUGUGACGAAGCGUGAGUGACGGUAAUGGGUAAAGAAGCACCGGCUAACUACGUG
rnacentral:rRNA from 1 species